AUUAUACUCCGUGUUUAAUUUUCUUUUAGAAGAAAAAGAUAAUGGACAAUUAUUGGUUGAUAACAGAUAUAGUCACAAUAUACAAUAUAACUAUGAAACGAAAAUGUAUUCUCCGACGAUAAAAUUAUUUCCCUUCGAUUGCACACAUACACUGCACUCUCAUAUCAUCCAAUGAUAAAAAUUCGAUAGCCGUUAAAAUUUUGCAAUAAGUUUGCGUAUUUUUUAGAAACGGAAGAAUUAUUUUUCCGUGCGGUAGUCGAGGCGGUAGUCAUGUUUAUUUCAGGUGCAAAAAAAGCUGGUGCUUAGUUUUUUUCGCACAGUUUCCCGUUGGAUUUUUGUUAUGAGGAUUUUUUUUGCACCAAUAAAAUCAGUUCCCGAGACAGAUCCAACAUUUCGAAAUGGCGCGUUUCAAUGAAACCCUGAAGCGAAACUUGAAGGAAGGUUCCAAAAUCAAAUGUUUACAGACAACUCCGUAUUUAUGGGAAGGAAUGCAGUUUCCGGCGAGGUUUCCGGACAGCAUCAUCGAAAAGUAUCCUUAAAGUUAUGGCUUCUUCUUUGUACCUAGCUGGAGAUAUUUUUAGAAACGAGUGUUGAAAUA